rnacentral:rRNA from 1 species
AGCGUUACGGCUUCGUAGUAGACCUGCGGAGGAUCAUUC